CCUACGGGAGGCAGCAGUGAGGAAUAUUGGUCAAUGGACGAGAGUCUGAACCAGCCAAGUAGCGUGAAGGAUGACUGCCCUAUGGGUUGUAAACUUCUUUUAUAUGGGAAUAAAAUGUUCCACGUGUGGGAUUUUGUAUGUACCAUAUGAAUAAGGAUCGGCUAACUCCGUGCCAGCAGCCGCGGUAAUACGGAGGAGCCGAGCGUUAUCCGGAUUUAUUGGGUUUAAAGGGAGCGUAGGUGGAUUGUUAAGUCAGUUGUGAAAGUUUGCGGCUCAACCGUAAAAUUGCAGUUGAAACUGGCAGUCUGGAGUACAUUAGAGGUGGGCGGAAUUCGUGGUGUAGCGGUGAAAUGCUUAGAUAUCACGAAGAACUCCGAUUGCGAAGGCAGCUCACUGGACUGCAACUGACACUGAGGCGCGAAAGUGUGGGUAUCAAACAGGAUUAGAUACCCCUGUAGUC
rnacentral:rRNA from 1 species